rnacentral:rRNA from 1 species
AUGGUUGCAUACUCUACCUCUCUGCUUCUACUAACUUUGAUUCAUCUGCUUCUGCGCUCCUCGGCUCGUGAAUUCCUAUCGCCGGGCUCCUUUCUCUCUGUAGAGGAUAGCUCGGACAGGCUCCAUUCACCUGAUGGUACUUUCAGCUGUGGCUUCAACAACAUUUCUCAAAAUGCCUUUGUCUUCUCUAUUUGA